CGGGCUGGACCUCUCGGGGUUACAGCCUUGCUGAAUUAUUCACCCUUGUCUUUUGCGUACUUCUUGUUUCCUUGGUGGGUUCGCCCACCACUAGGACAAACAUAAACCUUUUGUAAUUGCAAUCAGCGUCAGUAACAAAUUAAUAAUU
rnacentral:misc_RNA from 1 species